ACAUUCACCUGCACACCCAGGAGGUUUGAAAUGUUUGUCUGCACUUUCAGUCAGGCCCUCUCACCUCACACACGACCGCAACUGUUGGUUGACCGAAGGACGCAACUGGUAGCAACUGGUAGUAACUGAUUAUCAACCUACUCCACCCUACCCUGAUCUACUCCACCCUACCCUGAUCUACUCCACCCUACCCUGAUCUGCUCCACCCUACCCUGAUCUACUCCACCCUACCCUGAUCUACUCCACCCUACCCUGAUCUACUCCACCCUACCCUGAUCUACUCCACCCUACCCUGAUCUACUCCACCCUACCCUGAUCUACUCCACCCUACCCUGAUCCAUCCAUUAUCUGUUCUGACCUGUUAACCAACAAAACCAAACCCACCUUCAAGGAAAAUAAAAAUAAAACUAUGGAAUGGA